CCUACGGGUGGCAGCAGUGAGGAAUAUUGGUCAAUGGUCGCGAGACUGAACCAGCCAAGCCGCGUGAGGGAGGAAGGUACAGCGUAUUGUAAACUUCUUUUGUAAGGGAACAAAGUCCGGUACGUGUUCCCUGCUGCGUGUACCUUAAGAAUAAGGAUCGGCUAACUCCGUGCCAGCAGCCGCGGUAAUCCGGAGGAUCCGAGCGUUAUCCGGAUUUAUUGGGUUUAAAGGGGGCGUAGUGGGGGUGAUAAGUCAGGAGUGAAAGGUUGGGGCUCAACCCUGGAACUGCAAUUGAUACUGGCAGUCGUGAGUGGAGGAGAGGUAGGCGGAAUUCGUGGUGUAGCGGUGAAAUGCAUAGAUAUCGCGCAGAACUCCGAUUGCGAAGGCAGCUUGC
rnacentral:rRNA from 1 species